AUAGUCAGAAGAGGUUUAAAAUACGUAAGAGGACUUAAUGCUGAUUUGUCUUAGGGCUAAUAACUGUUUCACUUCAAUAAAAAGGACAUGAUGCUUUUCUGGUGAACGCAAAUAAGAAGAAUCAGAAAAGUUGAUUUUGGUUGCCAAUGUACAUAUGUUACAUGACAUAGCCAUGAGAGGUUUAAAAUAAGUAAGAGGACUUCAUGCU
rnacentral:misc_RNA from 1 species